AUUGAACGCUGGCGGCAGGCCUAACACAUGCAAGUCGAACGAGUGGCGGACGGGUGAGUAAUAUCUGGGAAAAUGCCUGAUGGAGGGGGAUAACUACUGGAAACGGUAGCUAAUACCGCAUACCAUCAGAUGUGCCCAGAUGGGAUUCGCUAGUUGGUGGGGUAACGGCUCACAAAGGCGACGAUCCCUAGCUGGUCUGAGAUGAUGACCAGCCACACGGGAAUGUAGACACGGUCCAGACUCCUACGUGAGGAAUCAGUGGGGAAUAUUGCACAAUGGUCGCAAGCCUGAUGCAGCCAUGCCGCGUGUAUGAAGAAGGCCUUCGGGUUGUAAAGUACUUUCAGCGGGGAGGCGUUACCCGCAGAAGAAGCACCGGCUAACUCCGUGCCAGCAGCCGCGGUAAUAC
rnacentral:rRNA from 1 species